rnacentral:rRNA from 1 species
CCUACGGGUUGCAGCAGUGGGGAAUAUUGCACAAUGGGCGCAAGCCUGAUGCAGCCAUGCCGCGUGUAUGAAGAAGGCCUUCGGGUUGUAAAGUACUUUCAGCGGGGAUGAAGGGAGUAAAGUUAAUACCUUUGCUCAUUGACGUUACCCGCAGAAGAAGCACCGGCUAACUCCGUGCCAGCAGCCGCGGUAAUACGGAGGGUGCAAGCGUUAAUCGGAAUUACUGGGCGUAAAGCGCACGCAGGCGGUUUGUUAAGUCAGAUGUGAAAUCCCCGGGCUCAACCUGGGAACUGCAUUCGAAACUGGCAGGCUAGAGUCUUGUAGAGGGGGGUAGAAUUCCAGGUGUAGCGGUGAAAUGCGUAGAGAUCUGGAGGAAUACCGGUGGCGAAGGCGGCCCCCUGGACAAAGACUGACGCUCAGGCGCGAAAGCGUGGGGAGCAAACAGGAUUAGAUACCCGCGUAGUC